CCUACGGGAGGCAGCAGCCAGGAAUCUUGGGCAAUGGGCGCAAGCCUGACCCAGCAACACCGUGUGGGCGAUGAAGGCCUUCGGGUCGUAAAGCCCUGUUGAUAGGGACGAAGGGCGAAGGGUUAAUAGCCCCUAGCCUGACGGUACCUUUCGAGGAAGCCCCGGCUAACUACGUGCCAGCAGCCGCGGUAAUACGUAGGGGGCGAGCGUUGUCCGGAAUUAUUGGGCGUAAAGAGCGUGUAGGCGGUUCGGUAAGUCUGCCGUGAAAACCUGAGGCUCAACCUCGGGCGCGCGGUGGAUACUGCCGGGCUAGAGGACGGUAGAGGCGAGUGGAAUUCCCGGUGUAGCGGUGAAAUGCGCAGAUAUCGGGAGGAACACCAGUAGCGAAGGCGGCUCGCUGGGCCGUUCCUGACGCUGAGACGCGUAAGCUAGGGGAGCGAACAGGAUUAGAUACCCUGGUAGUCCUAGCCGUAAACGAUGGACACUAGGUGUGGGGGGAGUCGAAUCCCUCUGUGCCGCAGUUAACGCGUUAAGUGUCCCGCCUGGGGAGUACGGCCGCAAGGCUAAAACUCAAAAGAAUUGACGGGGGCCCGCACAAGCAGCGGAGCAUGUUCUUUAAUUCGAUGCAACGCGAAGAACCUUACCUGGACUUGACAUGGUGCUGCAAGCGCACGGAAACGUGUGACCUUCGAGGGUGCACCACAGAUGCUGCAUGGCUGUCGUCAGCUCGUGUCGUGAGAUGUUGGGUUAAGUCCUGCAACGAGCGCAACCCCUGUGGCGUGUUGCCAUCAUUUAGUUGGGGACUCACGCCAGACUGCCGGUGACAAACCGGAGGAGGUGGGGGAUGAGGUCAAGUCAUCAUGGCUCUUACGUCCAGGGCUAGAAACGUGCUACAAUGGCUGAUACAAAGGGUUGCAAGACCGCAAGGUGGAGCGAAUCUCAUCAAAGUCAGUCUAAGUUCGGAUCGCAGUCUGCAACUCGACUGCGUGAAGGCGGAGUUGCUAGUAAUCGCGGAUUCAGCAUGCCGCGGUGAU
rnacentral:rRNA from 1 species